rnacentral:misc_RNA from 1 species
AGAAGGUGGUGAGGAUCCAAUUCGCUGGAAGCCGCUUACUGAUGUCAUUGAUGGAUAUUCUCCAACACUUCCCCACCUUAAAGGUCUGCAAAAUGGAGAUACUGCAACAAGUGCAAUUAAGCAGGUUGCUUCUGGACGCUUUGGUGUCACUCCUACAUUUCUAGCUAAUGCCGACCAGUUAGAAAUUAAAAUUGCUCAAGGUGCAAAGCCAGGUGAAGGUGGCCAAUUGCCUGGUAAAAAAGUUAGCGCUUACAUUGCUAGACUAAGGAAUUCAAAACCUGGAGUUCCUCUUAUAUCUCCACCACCACACCAUGAUAUUUAUUCUAUCGAGGAUCUUGCUCAGUUGAUUUAUGAUCUUCAUCAGGUCAACCCAAGAGCUAAGGUAUCUGUAAAGCUUGUCGCUGAAGCUGGUAUUGGUACUGUGGCUUCUGGGGUGGCAAAGGGAAAUGCUGAUAUCAUACAGAUAUCAGGGCAUGAUGGGGGAACUGGAGCAAGCCCAGUAAGUUCAAUUAAGCAUGCUGGUGGCCCCUGGGAGCUUGGACUUACAGAGACACACCAGACACUCAUUGAAAAUGGGUUAAGAGAAAGGGUUGUUCUUAGAGUUGAUGGUGGAUUUAAAAGUGGUUUUGAUGUCAUGAUGGCUGCAGCAAUGGGUGCAGAUGAGUAUGGAUUUGGUUCGGUAGCAAUGAUAGCCACGGGUUGUGUGAUGGCUCGCAUAUGCCAUACUAACAAUUGUCCAGUUGGUGUUGCCAGUCAGAGAGAGGAGUUACGAGCUCGGUUCCCAGGUGUUCCAGGAGACCUUGUUAACUACUUUUUGUAUGUUGCUGAAGAGGUGAGAGGCAUGUUGGCUCAACUAGGCUAUGAGAAACUGGAUGACAUAAUUGGGCGCACAGAUAUACUUAGACCUCGAGAUAUAUCAUUAAUGAAAACUCGGCAUCUUGAUCUUAGUUACAUCCUUUCUAAUGUUGGGUUGCCUGAAUGGAGCAGCAGUAUGAUAAGGAAUCAGGAAGUUCAUAGUAAUGGUCCUGUUCUUGAUGAUGUUUUGCUUGCAGAUCCAAAGAUAUCUGAUGCAAUUGAGAAUGAAAAGGUGGUCAACAAGACAGUUGAAAUAUAUAAUAUUGACCGUGCUGUAUGUGGUCGCAUUGCGGGUGCCGUGGCUAAGAAAUAUGGUGAUACUGGUUUUGCCGGACAGCUGAACAUAACAUUUACCGGGAGUGCUGGCCAAUCUUUUGCUUGUUUUCUGACACCUGGAAUGAACAUCAGACUUAUUGGAGAAGCUAAUGACUAUGUAGGAAAGGGCAUGGCUG